rnacentral:ncRNA from 2 species
UUCUUGAAGCGGGGGUGCCUGGCGUUUGCCGGGCUGAGAGAGUCCCUUGGAACCUGAUCCGGUUUGCACCGGCGUAGGGAGCUUGAUACGGAUCGAU